GGAAUAUUGGGCAAUGGGCGCAAGCCUGACCCAGCGACGCCGCGUGAGGGAAGACGGUCUUCGGAUUGUAAACCUCUUUUAUAUGGGAAUAAAACAGGGUAUGCAUACCCUCUUGUAUGUACCAUAUGAAUAAGGAUCGGCUAACUCCGUGCCAGCAGCCGCGGUAAUACGGAGGAUCCGAGCGUUAUCCGGAUUUAUUGGGUUUAAAGGGAGCGUAGGUGGAUUGUUAAGUCAGUUGUGAAAGUUUGCGGCUCAACCGUAAAAUUGCAGUUGAAACUGGCAGUCUUGAGUACAGUAGAGGUGGGCGGAAUUCGUGGUGUAGCGGUGAAAUGCUUAGAUAUCACGAAGAACUCCGAUUGCGAAGGCAGCCUGCUGGACUGUAACUGACGCUGAUGCUCGAAAGUGUGGGUAUCAAACAA
rnacentral:rRNA from 1 species